rnacentral:rRNA from 1 species
GAUGAACGCUAGCUACAGGCUUAACACAUGCAAGUCGAGGGGAAACGAUAGAGAAAGCUUGCUUUUUCUAGGCGUCGACCGGCGCACGGGUGAGUAACGCGUAUCCAACCUGCCCAUCACUUGGGGAUAACCUUGCGAAAGUAAGACUAAUACCCAAUGACGUCUCUAGAAGACAUCUGAAAGAGAUUAAAGAUUUAUCGGUGAUGGAUGGGGAUGCGUCUGAUUAGCUUGUUGGCGGGGUAACGGCCCACCAAGGCGACGAUCAGUAGGGGUUGUGAGAGGAAGGUCCCCCACAUUGGAACUGGGACACGGUCCAAACUCCUACGGGAGGCAGCAGUGAGGAAUAUUGGUCAAUGGACGAGAGUCUGAACCAGCCAAGUAGCGUGCAGGAUGACGGCCCUAUGGGUUGUAAACUGCUUUUAUAAGGGAAUAAAGUGAGUCUCGUGAGACUUUUUGCAUGUACCUUAUGAAUAAGGACCGGCUAAUUCCGUGCCAGCCGCCGCGGUAA